GAUAGGAAAUUGACAACUAAACCGAAUCAUCUCUUAAAUCCAGUCCAGACCCUGGUUUGAAAUGUCAGAGGAACUCCGGAGACAGUGGGAAAGUGAGCAGGCCUCUCUGAAGCUGCAGCUGGUGGAUGGUGACACAGAGGCUUGGCAGAGAGCUCCUUCGUUCUCGGGGCUGGAGCGAGUCGGGGGAGUCGACCUGUCCUUUAUCAAGGGUGAUGACGUGAACGCCUGCGCCCAGCUGGUGGUGCUCAGCUACCCAGAGAUGGAGCUUCUCUAUGAGGACUGUCGGAUGGUGACCCUCAGUGCCCCCUACAUCGCGGGGUUCCUGGCGUUUCGGGAGACCCCCUUCCUGGUGGAGGCUGUGCAGCGCUUGGAGAGCGAGAGCCCCAGCCUCCUUCCUCAGGUGAUCUUCGUGGAUGGCAAUGGCCUGUUCCAUUACCGAGAGUUCGGCCUGGCAUGUCAUCUAGGUGUCCUGACAGGGCUGCCCUGCAUUGGCGUUGCUAAGAACCUGUUGCAGGUUCAGGGGGUGGAGAAUAGCGAGAGGCACAAGGAGCAGAUUAAAGAGCUGCAGAACAGAGGGGACACUUUUCCACUGGAGUCCAGCUCUGGGAGAGUGCUGGGAAAGGCCCUGAAGAGCUCUGACAGGAGCACUAAACCCCUUUACGUGUCUGUGGGUCACCGCAUUAGCCUGGACACUGCUCUCCGCCUCACCACUGCCUGCUGUAAAUACAGGAUCCCCGAGCCAAUCAGACAGGCGGAUAUUCGCUCUCGGGAAUACCUGCGGAAGCACUUUCCAGAAGGGAGUGAGGAGGGAGCGAGCGCAGGGAGCGAGAAAGAGGGCCGGGCUGCGGGGAUCAGGAGCCUGUAAUGGAAUUAAAAAGGUGUACAGGGUAACACAGGAUGAGAGGGGCUGAACUGUAAGAUGCUGUUUAUCUCUAUCAACACGAAGAACUGCAACUUGUAAAGGUCUUCCUGAGAUCUGUAUUCAUCAAACUCUACAGCAAGCGAGCAGCACUGCGGCCCUGAAACUGAGUCCUACAAGAGACACUGCACUGUGUGUGUGUGAGAGUCUAUGUGUGUGUGUAUGUGUGUGAGUCUGUGUGAGUCUGUGUGA